rnacentral:pre_miRNA from 1 species
CAAUUCUUGUAGGCAUUUGCUAGAAUACACCUACUUAUUUUUUAGAAGAAGUAUUUUAGCAAAUGAUAAUUAAAAAGUAG